rnacentral:rRNA from 1 species
UCUUACAGUGGUGAAUGUCUUGGCUCGAGUAGUGAUGAAGAACGUAGCGAACUGCGAUAUGCAAUAUGAAUUGCGGAAUUUCGUGAAUUAUUAGAUCUUUGAACGCAUGCGGCAUUCUGGGGAAAUCCAGUUUGCAGUUUUACCGGUGUUUUCAAUUCUUUCUUCCGUCACGGGGGGUUCUAGGACUCUUCCCGUGGAUCUGCGUGCUCGGCGUGCGUCUCGUCACGGCCUGGCACGUCAAACGCUAGCGCGGUAAGCUCCGUUCACGCGGUGGCCUCGCGCGAGUUAUGACUCCAGUCGUCGCAGCUCUGGUUAACCCACAGUUGUUUGUGCUCCUGCAUACUCACGUGGCGUUAUCUCCAUGGCCAGCAGCUCCCGGCGGCGUGUCUGCUCCCGCUUUAUGUCUUGGACGUUCCGUUCUCUACAUAACCCGGUUUAACUGAAGUUACCCUCUGAAUUUAAGCAUAUAAGUAAGUGGUGGAAAAGAAACGACAAAGGAUUCUUCAAGUAAUGGCGAAUGAAGAAGGAUAAGCUCAUAUCUAAAAGCAGAGCCUUGUGCUUUGCGUUGUAAUAUCUUGACCCGUGACCAGCGGAGCGGCAGGUGUAUGUCCUCUGGAAAGAGGUGCAACGAAUGGUGACAGCCCAGUUCAGCGCCUGUUUGUUCCGUGUACCGUCCGGGCUCUCAGAGUCGCGUUCCCUGGGAUGGGAGCGCUAAUUAGAUGGUAUAUUUCAUCUAAAGCUAAAUAUCUUCUCGAGUCCGAUAGCGAACAAGUACCGUGAGGGAAAGAUGCAAAGUACUUUGAAAAGAGGGUUAUAUGCGCCUGAAACCACUGUAUUACAAGCACUUGGAUCCUUCUUUUUCGCUGGAUUAGCGCAACCUACGGGGCGCGCGGAAUCUGGCGUUUAUUGCCGAUGCAACUAAAGCGUCAGCCACACAACCGGUUUUGGGACGCUCCUCGAGCUUCCCGGCUGGUUUAUGUCUGAUGUGAAUUUUGUUUUUCUGGGUCGCCGCAUAUUCUUGCAUAGUACCUCUGGCUCAGUGUGACUGCGCAUGCGUUGAUCACUGUGCUAGUUGCGCUGUAAGGCACGCGUGACCCGCGGCAUCGGUACCAAAAGGUUUCAAAUGACCCGUCUUGAAACACGGACCAAGGAGUCCACACACGUGUGCGAGUACGUGCCGUGAAACGGUAUGUGCGUAGUGAAAGUGACAGUUAUAAUUUUUGUAGUAACAACCGACUUCAAUUUUCGGAGAGAGGUUUGAGUGUAAGCACACCUGUUGGGACCCGAAAGAUGGUGAACUAUAUCUGAGGAGGGUGAAGCCAGGGGAAACCCUGGUGGAGGCUCGUAGCGAUACUGACGUGCAAAUCGUUCGUCACACUUGGACAUAGGGGCGAAAGACUAAUCGAACUAUCUAGUAGCUGGUUCCCUUCGAAGUUUCCCUCAGGAUAGCUGGUGUCACGCAGUUGUAUCAGGUAAAGCGAAUGAUUAGAGGAUUCGGGGGCGCGUCGUUCUCGACCUAUUCUCAAACUUUAAAUGGGUACGUAGGGUUGAUCACUUCAUUGGAUCAGCCCAUACAAUGUAUACACUUAGUGGGCCUUUUUUGGUAAGCAGAACUGGCGAUGAGGGAUGAACCUAACGGCGGUGUAAGGUGCUAAAUUGUUCGCUCAUCUGACACCAAAAAGGGUGUUGGUUCAUUUUGACAGCAGGACGGUGGUCAUGGAAGUUGAAACCCGCUAAGGAAUGUGUAACAACUCACCUGCCGAAUGGACUAGCCCCGAAAAUGGAUGGCGCUGAAGCGGACAACCAAUACCCGCCCGCUUAUGUGAUAGAAGAAGAAUAAGCGUGUAGGAGGGCGAAGUUAUGGCAUUGAAGGUCGAGACGUUAGUCCGGCUGAAGCCGUAACUUGUGCAGAUCUUGGUGGUAGUAGCAAAUAUUCAAACGCGAAUUUUGAAGACUGAAGUGGCGAAGGGUUCCAUGUGAACAGCUUUUGUACAUGGGUUAGUCGACCCUAAUCGACAAAGGACUCUUGCAUACUGCGCUUCGGCGCUUCGCGAGAAAGGUAAUGUGGUCAAAAUUCCCUCACCUAGGCGUGGAUAUGUUUGGUAACAGUGCGCGACUCGGAGAAGUGAAGGCGAGCCCCAGGAAGCGUUUUCUGUUCUUGUUAACAUUGUCAACCCCUGGAAACAUCUUGUUUGGAGGUAGGGGAAAGGCGAUGGUAGAGUUUCUCGUUUUCCGAGGAAACUGGUGCGCUCGCCACUGCCCAUGAAAAUCCGAGGAGCAUUUAUAUUCCUGCCCUAGCUCGUACCCAUAACCGCAUCAGGUCUCCAAGGUUAGCAGCCUCUGGUCGAUAGAAUCAGGUAGCUGAGGGAAGUCGGCAAAAUAGUUCCGUAACUUUGGGAAAAGGAAUGGCUCUGAGGAUCGAUCACAGGAGUCCCUUCUGGGGGCUUGAAGGGCUAAGCGGCUGCUGCCCGGCUGGCAACGGCUGGGCGGAAGCUUGCUCGGCCCUUCGGCCCCUGUUGGGAUCGUCGGCGCGCAAGUGUCGAUAUCCGGUGUAGCGAACGAUUAUCUCAGAACUGGAGCGGUCAAGGGGAAUCCGACUGUUUAAUUAAAACAAAGCAUUGCGAUGGCCGUAACCGGUGUUGACGCAAUGUGAUUUCUGCCCAGUGCUCUGAAUGUCAAAGUGAUGAAAUUCAAACAAGCGCGGGUAAACGGCGGGAGUAACUAUGACUCUCUUAAGGUAGCCAAAUGCCUCGUCAUCUAAUUAGUGACGCGCAUGAAUG